UGGCUGGCGGCUGAGUCACACGGCAACGGCGGCGCGCGUGUGGCAUCCUCCCUGGUGGGGCGAGCAGGAAGGAGGAGGUGCACGGGAGGCGUAGGCGCUGUGGCCUAUCUGCAGAGGUGGACGACAGUAAUAGGAGAACUGGAACAAGCGCCGGAAGCGGCCGUGAACAUAGAUGCACAGUUCUGCAAGGAAGAAACCAGGGUGUACAGAGGAAGGGAGAUCUCACCCCAGGUCUCCGAGCUAUUGACUGGGAAGAUGAACCCCAGGCAGCCGGGCUGGACUGGUUUAAAAGUAACCCGUAAAACUUACUAAUUUUAAUUCACUUGGUACACGUCAUCAGUGAUUCAGUACGUGAUAUCGGUAUUGAGUGUACUAGCAGUCUACAGAUAGAUUUGCGUCUGUAUGCUGAGCUUGUUCUAAGGAUAAUAAUCUUUUGAUUGAAUCCAAUAUAAGGUAACUAAUAGAAAUACAAUAGUACUACUAAUGACAGUCUCACUGUUGGGAAGUUUUUUGAUAGAUAUUUAGUCGAGGCAACUAUUUCUACCAUGGAAUAAUUGCAAUUUAGCAAUGUGACGCCCGAUGAAUUAUAUAAAGUUUAGAAAUGCAUGUAUGUCGAUUUAAUUGGACAUGGUCUUUUAUGUUGAUUUCAGCUGAGAAGUAGGAAACAUUUGUGCAGAGUAAGGAUUGCAUCAGCGGCACCAUGCCCUUCUCGGGCGAAAACUCUUGAUAAAGCGAUAAGGGGAUUCGCUGACUAUCCAAUACAUAAUGUGAUUGUACCGGUGCUGGGGACAAGUUUUGACUCUUUAUGAGAGAGACGUGUGGUUUUUACAACCUAUUCUCUUGGGAGAAAGGUUUUGGGAUCAGAUAUUGGAAAAGCAGGGUGAAGCAGGUGUGUAGAACACACGAUCUUGCCGAUGUGAGUACCCUGCUCUAAUAAAUUGCUUAGAUCAAAGCACAGAGGUUAAGAAGUACAUGAGACUGCAGUUUGAUAGUGAGUCUGAGGAGAACUAUCUCGA